AUCGAGGCUACAAGGGAGAUUUCUUCCAGAGAGAGGAUAGAGUUAUUAAGUCUAAAGUCCAUUAUUUGUUUUUGUCCUUCAUAAAAAGAUGGUCCUGACUCUGGGUGGGUCUAACAAGGAUCCUGGAACUCCAGGGGUAUUGUUUAAUUCUUACCAGAUUUGAUCCUGGCUUUAAAUCAAUUCUCACAGGUUCUGCUUUUUGGAUUUACCGGGAACUUCCUAGU